CAGCAGCCGCGGUAAUACGUAGGGCGCAAGCGUUGUCCGGAAUUAUUGGGCGUAAAGAGCUCGUAGGCGGUCUGUCGCGUCUGGUGUGAAAUCCCGAGGCUCAACCUCGGGCUUGCAUCGGGUACGGGCAGACUAGAGUGCGGUAGGGGAGACUGGAAUUCCUGGUGUAGCGGUGGAAUGCGCAGAUAUCAGGAGGAACACCGAUGGCGAAGGCAGGUCUCUGGGCCGCAACUGACGCUGAGGAGCGAAAGCAUGGGGAGCGAACAGGAUUAGAGACCCCAGUAGUCCCUGUCUCUUAUAC
rnacentral:rRNA from 1 species